AGAGUUUGAUCAUGGCUCAGGACGAACGCUGGCGGCGCGCCUAACACAUGCAAGUCGAACGAGCGAGAGAGAGCUUGCUUUCUCUAAGCGAGUGGCGAACGGGUGAGUAACGCGUGAGGAACCUGCCUCAAANAGGGGGACAACAGUUGGAAACGACUGCUAAUACCGCAUAAGCCCACGGCUCGGCAUCGAGCAGAGGGAAAAGGAGCAAUCCGCUUUGAGAUGGCCUCGCGUCCGAUUAGCUAGUUGGUGAGGUAACGGCCCACCAAGGCGACGAUCGGUAGCCGGACUGAGAGGUUGAACGGCCACCAUUGGGACUGAGACACGGCCCAGACUCCUACGGGAGGCAGCA
rnacentral:rRNA from 1 species